rnacentral:rRNA from 1 species
GACAGAGGGUGCAACCGUUGUUCGGAAUUACUGGGCGUAAAGCGCGUGUAGGCGGCCCUGUAAGUCGGAUGUGAAAUCCCACGGCUCAACCGUGGAAGUGCAUUCGAAACUACAGGGCUAGAGUCCUGGAGAGGAAGGUGGAAUGCUUGGUGUAGAGGUGAAAUUCGUAGAUAUCAAGCGGAACACCGGUGGCGAAGGCGGCCUUCUGGACAGUGACUGACGCUGAGACGCGAAAGCGUGGGGAGCAAACAGG